GGGAGAUCGUGUGUCAGCCAUCUCGCGCCGCCACGUAAACACGACAGUCGUUCGUCAUGCCUUGGAUAUAACAACAAAUCCUCCACGGCACCCGCUUUAUAUAACGCAAGAAGGCAGCUGCAAGGACACGAGGAUGUGAAAGAGCCAGUGCAGCGCGACUUCACGUAGUGCAGAGGAGCCAAUGCCAAAAAAUCAAAAUACAUUGGCAUGUUAUUUGGACAAGAAAACUAGUAUGUGGGUAUAUUGGGUGUACCAUUUGACCAACUGUCAACAAAAUCAAGAUACAGUAUGUUACACGAAGAUGAAAAUUCUCACGUGCUCCAGGCAGUCAUCUUAACAUGGUAUAUUUAUGUAAUGUCUCUGAUUGGAAAGUCAAAUCAAGUAUGCUCUCUGGAGACAAACACACAGCAGCAAGUGUCAUUGAAAAGUUAAAAAUGUGUUUUAAGAAAGCUGAUUAGUUCUGAGAAGUGACUGCUUUUUGUCUUGCCUCUCAACAGAUAUAUCCAUGUGAUAAAAAAAUAGUGGUACAAUGAAAUUGCAUAUUUGCUUAGCGACAUGAUACAUACUUGCAAUGAGCACGGUGCCUGUGUUUACUAUAAAAAGCAACAGCCCAUGCUUGGUUAGGUUAGGCCCACUACAACAUGCAGGCAUGGGUGAUUGGCGCUUUUUUUAUUUCUGUGUCGUGAGGUUUAUUGACGUGCGUAUAAGUGCAGUGGCACGCAGUAUGGCUAGUACAAAAAAGGGGGGGGGCAGAUAUAUGUAGCUCACUGUACACGACACAGGGCAAAGGAAAUCCGUGUUCAGCAACUAUGUUAAAUGCCAUGUACGUAAAUUUUACAACGCUACUCGUUCGAAGCGCGCACAGGUGCAUAUUCAAGAAAAGUUUCCAGGGUGGAUAAUUUAGUUCGUAAUUUACACUAAUUUUGCUCUAACCACGAGACAUAAUAAUUUGAAUAUACUGCACGGAAAAACCUAGAGCGAAUUAAAUUGUGUGUCAGCUUCGUGUGUAUACAUAUAGUCUUUCCUAUGCAUUAGGUUUUUUGCGUAAUGCAUCAACAGUUGACAGCCUAUCUUAUGAUGUGUACUCUGUUUACAUUACAGUUGUUUAUUAGUUUACUCGUUUGUUUUGCGACUGAUGAAAUGCCGGCAUAUAUAUAUUUUCAACAUUUGACAUAACCCUGUAUGUCUUGCAGGGACAACCCAGGACGUGCAUUUCUCAGCACCCAGUCAACUGCCAAAAGUGACUCAAACACAGGCCACCAGUGGAACUCGGCUGUACCACUGCAGUGCUGCGGAAAUUGCCUUCACCAGCGGCUUUGCAAAAGCUGUUUCGCAGCAUGUCGGAGACAAUGCCUACGAAAUUAUUGGCCCUGAUCAUGAGAGCCCUCAAGGGGCAAACAACAUCUCUGUUGCAGAAGUGAGCCCGAUACCACUUGGAAGUUACCAUGACACAUGACACGGCAGCAAUAGAUACAGAGACUGCCAUGUCUACUGCAGCUGCAACAGUGUACGAGGCAAGCAGCAGCGCGUCAGCAUCAGCAGCAGUGUCAGAAGGAACCACACCAGGCCUGGUAGAGCAACAUGUGUCCUAUCACUGACUUUUUUUGUAGUGGAUACAACUCAUUUGCUCGGCAUACAAAAGCUUUUCACCACGACUGUGAGCCAGUGUUAUUGCGCAGCAAGUGCAAGACUAAGUUAGGUGUUCUAACACAGUACAAGCAUCACUUUAAUAUAUGCAAAUGCAAACAUAUUACAGUUGUUGCCUC